rnacentral:rRNA from 1 species
GAUGAACGCUGGCGGCGUGCCUAAUACAUGCAAGUCGAGCGAUCAGACGAGGAGCUUGCUCUUCUGGCGUGAGUGGCGGACGGGUGAGUAACACGUGGGUAACCUACCUUGUAGACUGGGAUAACUUCGGGAAACGGUAGCUAAUACCGGAUAAUAUAGUGAAACACAUGGUUUAAAAGUGAAAGAGGGAAUUGCUCCACCUCAAGGAGGAACUGCGGCGUCUUUAGCAAUAUGGUAGGGAAACGCCUUACCAAGGCAACGAUGCGUAGCCGACCGGAGAGGUUGACCGGCCACACUGGAACUGGGACACGCCCCAGACUCCUCCGGGAGGCAGCAGAGGGGAAUCUUGGGCAAGGGGGGAAAGCUUGACGGAGCAACGCCGCGUGAGGGAGGAGGGUCUUCGGAUGUUAAAACCCGUUUUAAAGGGAAGAACAAAGGUGGAAGUAAAUAUUCACGUCGUGACGGUACCUAAUCAGAAAGCCACGGCUAACUACGUG